UACGUAGGCAGCGAGCGUUGUUCGGAGUUACUGGGCGUAAAGCGUGCGUAGGCGGUGGCUUAAGUUUGUUGUGAAAUCUCCCGGCUUAACCGGGAGGGUGCGGCGAAUACUGAGAUGCUGGAGUGCCGGAGAGGUAAGCGGAAUUCCUGGUGUAGCGGUGAAAUGCGUAGAGAUCAGGAAGAACAUCGGUGGCGAAGGCGCUCUGCUGGACCAUAACUGACACUCAGGGACGAAAGCUAGGGGAGCGAAUGGG
rnacentral:rRNA from 1 species